CGGGAACCCAUCCACCAACCAACCAGCAAAACUGAAGGGUCGUGUCCCCAUAUAACCUCCUGCAAACGACGGUAAUUGGGUCAACAUUGAACGAUUACGCAGAUAAGCGCCUGCCCGGGCAGCUUCAUUGACUCGGAUGUUCUGCAGGGUCCGGAACUUGGCUGGGUUGGUGUCGUACACAGCUUUGAUUUUCUGAAAUGGAGCACACAAGAUUUCCCCUUGGAGACACUGAGGCUCACAGAGGAGCACGGACUUGCCCAAGGUCACACAGUUGGUACAGAGUUCAUGUUCUCCAGCCACUACUGACACUGCCUCAGACACCAAGUAUCUGAAGUUUUGCUUUGGUGGACAAGUGGAAAUAGGUUCCGAGGAUUCCAAGAAGUCCAGGAACGAAGGCCUCUGAGAUGGAGCCAGGACUAUUUAAUGCGUGCCGGAUACCUAGAAGGCCACAUUCCACAGACAUCCAUUUAAUUAAGGAUCUUGCUGUGUCACCCAAACUGGAGUACAGUGGCAUAAUCUCAGCUCACUGCAACUUAGGCGUCCCAAGCUCAAGUGAUCCUCCCACCUCAGCCUCCUGCGUAGCUGGAACUACAGGUGUGCACCUCAACACCCAGCUAAUUUUCUGUACUUUUGGUAGAGACAGGGUUUCGCCAUGUUGCCCAGGCUGGUCUCAAACUCCUGACCUCAAGAGAUCCGCCCACCUUGGCCUCCCAAAGUACUGGGAUUACAGGCGUGAGCCACCGCACCAGCCCAUACUUUUUUUUCCCCAAAAAGACCGAUGUAAAUGAGUUUGGAAGGAAAAUAUUCUGAAAUCCCAGCAGAGAUUCUUUCUUCAAAACUCUACCUCAAAUGUUGUCAGACAAUUGAAUGAACUAAUCUACAUAGAGUACUUAGCACAUAGUAAGGGCUCAGUGAGUGACGGGGAAAUUUUUAUAUAUCAUUUGUAUUUGCUCAGUUUUCCUCCAAUUGACAGAUCUUCCUUGCAGAAUUAAAU
rnacentral:lncRNA from 1 species